rnacentral:rRNA from 1 species
UACGGAGGAUCCAAGCGUUAUCCGGAUUUAUUGGGUUUAAAGGGUGCGUAGGCGGACCCUUAAGUCAGUGGUGAAAGUUUGCGGCUCAACCGUAAAAUUGCCAUUGAAACUGAGGGUCUUGAGUGUAAAUGAGGUAGGCGGAAUGUGUUGUGUAGCGGUGAAAUGCUUAGAUAUAACACAGAACACCAAUUGCGAAGGCAGCUUACUGGGAUACAACUGACGCUGAGGCACGAAAGCGUGGGGAUCAAACAGGAUUAGAUACCCUGGUAGUCCACGCAGUAAACGAUGAAUACUAGCUGUAUGCGAUAUACUGUAUGUGGCAAAGCGAAAGCGUUAAGUAUUCCACCUGGGGAGUACGUUCGCAAGAAUGAAACUCAAAGGAAUUGACGGGGGCCCGCACAAGCGGAGGAACAUGUGGUUUAAUUCGAUGAUACGCGAGGAACCUUACCCGGGCUUGAAAUGCAUCUGACCGACCAGGAAACUGGUUUUCUAGCAAUAGCAGAUGUGUAGGUGCUGCAUGGUUGUCGUCAGCUCGUGCCGUGAGGUGUCGGCUUAAGUGCCAUAACGAGCGCAACCCUUAUCAUUAGUUACUAACAGGUCAUGCUGAGGACUCUAGUGAGACUGCCACCGUAAGGUGUGAGGAAGGUGGGGAUGACGUCAAAUCAGCACGGCCCUUACGUCCGGGGCGACACACGUGUUACAAUGGGGGGUACAGAGGGUCGCUACCUGGUGACAGGAUGCUAAUCUCAUAAAGCCUCUCUCAGUUCGGAUCGGAGUCUGCAACUCGACUCCGUGAAGCUGGAUUCGCUAGUAAUCGCGCAUCAGCCAUGGCGCGGUGAAUACGUUCCCGGGCCU